ensembl:lncRNA
AUGUUUUUAUCAGCUGUUUGGACUCUCAUUCUGACGGCACCCAUUCACUGCAGAGCAUCCAUUGCUGAGACACUGAUGCAGUGCUACAUUUUUACAAACUGGAGUGCUGUGGAUUACUUGUGGAUUAUUGUGAUGUUUUUAUCAGCUGUUUGGACUCUCAUUCUGACGGCACCCAUUCACUACAGAGCAUCCAUUGCUGAGACACUGAUGCAGUGCUACAUUUCUACAAACCUGAUGAAGAAACAAACUCAUCCUGAUCUCAGAUGAACCGAGAGUGAGUAGAUUUUUAGCUAAUGCUCCUUCUUGGGUGAACUAUUCCUUAAAACAUUUUGCAGUGAUGCCCUAGAAGAACAAUUUCUGGUUCCCAAAGAACCUUUUAGUGAUCAGUUCUUAAAAGAAGCAUUUUUUCUUAGUGAGAAAAAACAUUUUAAUAAUCUGAAGAACCAUGUAUAUAUAAAGAACCUUUAGUGGAUGUUUAAGGUUCUUCCUGGAACCAUCAAUGCCAAUAAAAGUGUAGAUCAGGGGUGUCACACUCAGUUCCUGGAGGGCGGAGCCCUUAAGAGUUUAGAUGCAACCCUAAUUAAACACACCUGAUCCAACUAAUCAAGUCCUUCAGGCUUAUUUGAAAGCAUCAUGGUAUGUGUGUUGGAGCAGGAACUGAGUUUGACAUCCCUGGUAAGGAUGGACAGACAGAUGCAACAACUGAAAGUUUUUUACUCUGGAAAACACUCUGGGGAAAAAAUAUUUACAUCAUUACGUUUACAUUUUUCCUACACUGUAUACUUUUUUUUUUUUUUUAACCAUAUUGAAGUGUCAUGAAUAUUAAUUUCUUGGCACAUGGGUUUUUACUUUUGUUAUUUUAUCAUGGACACUUUUAUUUGUCACUGAUACCCAGGUACAUGUGAUGGUAUAUUAUAGUUAUAUGGAUUUUUUAGACACUAAUUUUAAGAUCUGAAAUGGCGUUCUGUCCUUACAGAUGCUUUUUAUUUCAUUGAUAGACUUUGUCUUUCAAACUUUCAUUUAGUUCACAUUUUUUGGCUUCACUUGUUGUACAAUUUCUAGUAUUAUGAGAUAUAGUGUCCAUAUUUCUCAUAUGUAUUAGGCUAAAUAAUCAAGAGGAUUUUGUUAAUGUACAUUUUUUUUGCAAAGGUGAAACAGAAUACUGUGUCAGUCUUGAUAACUGCCAGGAUUUAUGAGUGAAGCCAAUAAGAAACACAGAUAAAACUGUAUCAGAAAUCAUCAGUCAUAAGCUAGAGGAUGUAAAUAUGAAGCAUGAUUCCAUAUAUGUGUCCAAAUAAAGGCCAU